AAUGCACAGAUACAGACACAAAACGAGCACCAAGAGCUGAAGCCAAAAUUCGAUACGCUGGCCUUGUUGUUAUUUUGAUCUUCUUGUGUUUCACUGUGAAAACACAAAGAGGUUGUAAUCGAACUCAGAAACAAACAGUAAAGAAAAAGACUGGUCAGAGUUGUUGGUUUCAGGAUUCAUUAUCGAGCAACCCUGUUGUGACAUUCAGUGAGAUGAAGUUGUAAGAGUCUACGGGAGCUACAGGACAGAAGAUGUACGCUACCGAUGAGAUUACUGAACAUGCUCGGAUUCAGAUACGGAGGACCUGAUUAUAACUUAAUGAUUAUACAGUUUAUAUUUUUCCACUCUGUGAUAAUUAUUAUGCUAACAUAUAGUUUAAGUAUAAACCUACCAUAAUGGCUACAAGUGAACUAUAAUUGAUUCUCCAGUCGUAAAUAUAAAAUCCAUUUUUUUUUCUGCCUGUGUUUCAUAGCUAUGUUUAUUUCACAGAACACUUUAAAGCCUUCGAGGGAAUUGUAGCACAGUAUGGCCAGAUGGGAGAAGUCCAGAUUAGAGGUUUUACGAGAUAUGAAAGUUUGUUUUUGGACAAGUAUGAAAGGCUGUAAGACUGUGAUAAGCAAUGUUCAAAUUACUGCCUGAGAAUUUAUCAAUUAUGUUGCGAUGAAACUAUGAGAUAUGUACAUACGGAUUUCAAUAUUCAUUUGUUACAAGUCUGGGGUUCUUGGAAUUCGAAGACAAAUGUAUCGGUUUGUCUGUGUGUCUGGAGCUAACAAUUAGCUUUAAAGGAAAUACAACAUCCAUAAUCCUCAGCAGGAGGACAUUACCCAGAUUUCUUCACAAGCUGCCUCCAGGGUCAACGGAGAAAACUUUGCACUCUCAGAUAUGAGAGGGUUAUCGGCUUAGAGCACUAAGUCAGGCUAUGGAGAGAUAUAAGGGGCAAAUUCUGACAAAGAGAUUUGUUGAUUCAUAAAAUGCAUUGCUAAAGGGUGUAAUGUAGCAGAGAAUGCUGAAAUAUUCAGUUGAUGCAGAAGAAGAUGCAGAGUUAUGCGAUUGUAUGGGUCACGGCAGAUAAUUCCUUCUAUGAAGGAAGCCCAUAUGAAAUUUUAGAAUUGUGGAAAAUAAAAGGUCAGCCUUUAGAUGGCAGCAUAUGAGCAUGCAAAGAAUAUUGGCUGAGUAACAGAAAGCAAAGAAUGGAUUUUAAUUGGUCUUUUUCAGGGUGAUGAGAUAUAUCAAGUUGAGUUCCAAAGGGAUUUAUAAUUUACACAUAUAACAUAGAUGAGGGAUGGAAGGUUGCCAAUUUUGCUGAUAGCCCAAAGAUAGUCAGGAAAAAAUAAAUUGUGAAGAGGAGACCAAGAGGUUAGAAACAGAUAUUGACAGCUUAAGUGAAUGGAGAAGGAUAUGGCAAACAGAACAUAAUGUGGGAAAAUGCAAUGUUGCCCAUUUAGGCAGAAAGAAGAGAAAAACAUAUUAUCUAAAUGGUACAACCAUAGGUAGUAGGACCAAAAGUAGGCUUUUCAAUCCAUUAAGUUGUUCUGCCAUUCAAUGAAAUCAUUCACAGCUGAUCUGAUAAUCUUCAACCCUACUUUCCUGCCUUUCCACAUAACUCUUGAUAAAAAUCCAU